rnacentral:rRNA from 1 species
AGACGUCUACAUUAGAUACCCGCGUAGUCCCAGCCGUAAACUAUGCGCGUUAGGUGUAUCGGUGACCACGAGUCACCGAGGUGCCGAAGGGAAACCGUGAAACGUGCCGCCUGGGAAGUACGGCCGCAAGGCUGAAACUUAAAGGAAUUGGCGGGGAGCACCACAACGGGUGGAGCCUGCGGUUUAAUUGGACUCAACGCCGGGAAGCUCACCGGAUAAGACAGCGGAAUGAUUGCCGGGCUGAAGACUCUGCAUGACUAGCUG